rnacentral:rRNA from 1 species
UACGAAGGGGGCUAGCGUUGCUCGGAAUCACUGGGCGUAAAGCGCACGUAGGCGGACUAUUAAGUCAGGGGUGAAAUCCCGGGGCUCAACCUCGGAACUGCCUCUGAUACUGUUAGUCUCGAGACCGGAAGAGGUGAGUGGAAUUCCUAGUGUAGCAGUGAAAUGCGUAGAUAUCAGGAGGAACACCGAUGGCGAAGGCAGGUCUCUGGGCUGACACUGACGCUCAUGCACGAAAGCGUGGGGAGCAAACAGG